rnacentral:rRNA from 1 species
UACGUAGGGGGCGAGCGUUGUCCGGAUUCAUUGGGCGUAAAGAGCUCGUAGGCGGCUUGUCAAGUCGGGUGUGAAAACUCCAGGCUCAACCUGGAGACGCCACUCGAGACUGUCAUGGCUAGAGUCCGGUAGGGGAUCACGGAAUUCCUGGUGUAGCGGUGAAAUGCGCAGAUAUCAGGAAGAACACCCGUGGCGAAAGCGGCUCUCUGGAACGGUACUGACGCUGAGACGCGAAAGCGUGGGGAGCGAACAGG